UUUUUCAAAUAAGCAGUAUAAAUAAAUUUUAACUUCAUUGCAAGAUCCGACAUUAUUUUACGAGAAUCAUCAUGCAUACAUUGCCAGCAUGUCAAAACUUCUAGGAAUAAUUGUUUAUCGGCCUAACCUUCUGAAUACUCAACUUUUGAAAUAUUUGAAAAAUUGACAUUAAAAUUAGAAGGAUCAUAUGAUAAGAAACACGUGGACUAAGUUUUAAGUUGGUAGGACUUCAACUUAAUUAAAAACCAGCUUGAUCAAAAACUUUAAUCUGAAGCGGACAACGACGCACAUACAGAAAAAAAACACAAUGCACCAUAAAUUGGGCAUGAAAAUAACUUUCACCUAUCUUAUUAACCUGUACACAAUCGGCGCAAACGAAAGAAAAAAUCUACGCAAGUGAAAGAAUAAAAAAAAUGAAAUGCAGAUCGGCACAAAUAUAAGACAAAAUCUACGCAUCUGAAAGAAUAAAGAAAAAUAUAUGUAGAUAGGCGC
rnacentral:lncRNA from 1 species